AGGGACUUUACUAGACAAGGAUGGAACUUAUUUGUUAAAAUAUGAAUUCCAAACCCAAAGCCAGGACAUGGGGAAACAAUUGAAAACCGACCAAAUGCCAAAUACGUGACAUAAAACCGACAUGAACACUUUCAUUUAUCAUUGCAUUUGUCAUUGUAAAUAAAACGUUUACAACUUUCGAAUGGUUAUAUAUUAUUUUUGAAUUACAUAGACUGGUGCUUGACAUAUAGUAUGAAUAUGUGUGUAUAAUUGAAAAUAUGACAAUUUUAAACACAUAUGUUUCAGAAGCCUCAGAUGGAAUUCAGGUUUUUUCUUGGUCUUGUCUUGGAUUGUUUUGUAGUUGUCUCAUUGACGCAA
rnacentral:lncRNA from 1 species